ACUCCUUCCUAAAGGGUGGCUACCCAGCCAGCUCUUAUUUCCCCAACUAUUCCUUUUAUGUUUCCAAAGUGUGACGCAAUGUGAAAUGUGGUAUUCCUUGUUUUAGAAGCAAAGAGGCAUGAAAUGGAGCAGGACUUAAAGGCUGCUUUUGCCUGAAGACAAGGAUCUCAGUUUUUCACAUGAGCUAAGUUAAGGUGCUCAGGGGAAGAGAGAGGGAUGCCUCCCACCGCUGAUGGAGCACGCUCCCUGGCCCUGGGUCAGCAUCCAUUUGUGUGUCUCCAGUGUGGUGGCGACAGGAACCCACCCUCUGGAGGAGGGCAGCGGCCGGGCGGGA